AGUGAACGCUGGCGGUAGGCCUAACACAUGCAAGUCGAACGGCAGCACAGUAAGAGCUUGCUCUUACGGGUGGCGAGUGGCGGACGGGUGAGGAAUACAUCGGAAUCUACUUUUUCGUGGGGGAUAACGUAGGGAAACUUACGCUAAUACCGCAUACGACCUACGGGUGAAAGCAGGGGAUCUUCGGACCUUGCGCGAUUGAAUGAGCCGAUGUCGGAUUAGCUAGUUGGCGGGGUAAAGGCCCACCAAGGCGACGAUCCGUAGCUGGUCUGAGAGGAUGAUCAGCCACACUGGAACUGAGACACGGUCCAGACUCCUACGGGAGGCAGCAGUGGGGAAUAUUGGACAAUGGGCGCAAGCCUGAUCCAGCCAUACCGCGUGGGUGAAGAAGGCCUUCGGGUUGUAAAGCCCUUUUGUUGGGGAAGAAAAGCAGCAGGUUAAUACCCCGCUGUUCUGACGGUACUCAAAGAAUAAGCACCGGCUAACUUCGUG
rnacentral:rRNA from 1 species